AACGCUGGCGGCGUGCCUAACACAUGCAAGUCACGGGGGAUUUUGUUUCGGCAGAAUCCUAGUGGCGAACGGGUGAGUAACGCGUAGGCAACCUGCCCUCCGGCCGGGGACAACACUCCAAAGGGGGUGCUAAUACCGGAUACGAAGUCUGUGCCGCAUGGUACGGAUUUUGAAAGAUGGCCUCUAUUUAUAAGCUAUCGCCGGGGGAUGGGCCUGCGUCCGAUUUAGCUGGUUGGUGGGGUAACGGCCUACCAAGGCGACGAUCGGUAGCCGGUCUGAGAGGAUGAACGGCCACAUUGGGACUGAGACACGGCCCAGACUCCUACGGGAGGCAGCAGUGGGGAAUCUUCCGCAAUGGGCGCAAGCCUGACGGAGCAACGCCGCGUGAGUGAAGAAAAGGUUUUCGGAUCGUAAAGCUCUAUUGUCAGGGACGAGAGACUUGAUCAGGAAAUGGGUCAAGGAGGACGGUACCUGGCGAGAAAGCCACGGCUAACUACGUGCCAGCAGCCGC
rnacentral:rRNA from 1 species